UUCCUCCUCCUCCUCCCCUUCCUCCUGGUUAAAUUCCAGCUUGGGGCUGCCCUGAGGAACCAGCCGUGGGCACUCGGCACACACCGUCUGAUGACCGUCCUCCAUCUGACUUUCUGGGGAUUAAGCCCUGGUGAUAAGUGCCUGCCACGACACGAAGGGACCCCAGGACACUGUUGAGAGGACCCAGACACGGGACACAUCCCGCGGGACCCCACUCCUAGGAGGGCCCCAGAGGAGUCCCAUUCGCACAGAGAGGAGACGGUGGGAGCCGGGACUCAGGCAGGGGUGGGGAGUCCGGGCUUCGUGGGGACAGAGUCUCCAUGAGGGGAGAUGGAAGGUUCUGGAGACGGAGGGUGGGGGUGUGGGAGUGCUUCACACCGCUGGGCAGUGCACUUAGAGACGGUUAAGGUGGUGAAUUCUAUGUUAUGUGUACUCACCAUUUUUUAAGAAGGAAAAAGGUCCGAGAGAAGAUCGCCGAGACGGACCCAACCUCCUCAGUUUACAUAAGUAAAUACAGAAUGUCCAGGACGCAGGCUCCUGGGUCCCCGACCCCGAGUCAGGAGGCACAUCUGGCCAGAUGCUCCAGCCCCGCAGUCUAGACAAAUGAACCGGAAGUCGGGGCCAAGUCACAGAACCUCAGAGCAGGGGGCCAUGGAGCCCGAGCAGGGCCGCUGUGGCCGCCGCACCCAUGAGCUCACACAGCAGCCGGCCGCGCGGGGACCAGGCAAGACCCUCCAGAGCUCGGGCGCCCCUGCAGUGCCCACCGCCCACCUGCUAUGGCCAGUGAGAGGAAAUAAGCCAGAGGGGGCCACAGCAUUUAGGAACAAAAUUUAUUCCAAUUUAAAACAGAAUUCAUUUCAGGAGAAAGAUAUGAAAAGUCAAUUUCCAUCAGCUCUCUCUGGAUUAAGGGGUCAGGGCCCCAAUGCGCGGAGCGGAGCCUGCUGCCCCGCCCCCGCCCCCAAAUGGCAGCCUUGGCCCCGGGAGGUUGGCACUGAGCUAACGGGCCUGUCCGCCAGCGCGCACAACAAUACAUGCAUUUCAAAUGACAAAAGGUUUAAAAACAGUAUUUUUAUAUAAUAUUCUUCUUUAAAAUAGGUUAAGGUUGAAACCGUCUGAAAUCAGGACUGUAUAAUAUACAAGUAUAACCAGAGGGGACCAGCGGCGGUCUCUCGGGGGCGCUGGCACCAGGCUGUCUCUCGGGCGAGCAGGGGAUGGGGGACCAGGGCCCCUCUGCUGGGACCUGACACAGUCGGGUGGGGGGGGGGGAUGGAGCUCCCCAAGGUGGAAAAUGAGAAAAACAAAUCCCACACAAUGGGCGAGGGAGGGGCCCGGGCCACCCAGGCCCCACUGGCACUGGCACAGAGUGGGUCUCCGACCCUCUAUGGCACACAGCAGUGUCCCCAUCCUCCGGCCCUGGGCCCUCGGGGUUCCAGAAGUGCCGGGCGGGGGUGGCGUGGCGGUCCAGCCAGACUUUGGCUCUGGGGUGCUUGGCACACUGCUCCCUCCGGGAAGAAUGAAUACUUUGGCCCAGUCACACCCUGCGCCCCCGAGGCCCAAUCCACCUCCCUUGUGAUCUGGGCCCGAGAGGCGCUGAGACCUCGAGGUGCCCACCCUGCGAGGCCCCCGAAGUCCCUGGGCAGGCCCCCCCCAGCAGCACCGAGGGCACACGCUGCGGACUUUGGCAGGCCCCCUCCCUUGCAGGACUGUCCCCAGAGAGGACGGAUCACUAGGAAUGUCGCCGCCCCACCCUGCAGAAGCUGCCCGCGGUCGCCGCCAGCCCCCUCCUUCCUGUGACAGCGUCAGGAGAGCGCGGGGAGCGAGGCCAGGCCUGGCGUCCUGGUGUCCGGCUUGCUGUCCGAAUUGCUUCUCCUGUGGGCGGGCGGCCCGGACCAGGUGGGGGGGGGGGGGGGCAAGGCAUCACUGGCAGCUCGUUCCCGCUACGUUGUGCAAAUCAAAACAAAACAAAACCCACAAAAAACACUGUAGUGCUCAGUCUGCGUCAGAUAAAAACGCAUCCCCCCAAACACAGCCCCCGCUUGUUCCCACCCUCCGAGCCCCUCAGAAGGAGGGGGCCCAGGCAAGGCAGCCCAUGGCUCUGGCUCAGUGCGUGGCCGUGGCCGUGGCCAGGCCUGGAAGCCACGCGGGGCCGCGGCACCAGCAGCCGCCGGCCCUCCACGGCUCCAGGCAAAGUGCGCGUCGUGCUGCGUGCUCGCCUCCCGGGGGCCGGGGGCUGGGGGCUGGGGGGGGGGGCAGAAGUGGGAGCAAGGGUUUGCGCCAGAGACCGCGCCUGGGAACCGCCGCGGGCAAGUCCCUUCUCUGCCGCUCGGGGACUGACCUGAGAAUAUUCUGAAAGAGCCCCCUGCCCCCACUGCUUCCAAGUUGGCUUCAAAACAGAACACAUCGAAACCGACUCCCAGUCCGGCUCCCUGGGCGCAGCGGGGUGCCCACGGCCCUCGGCGGUGUCUGGACAGCAGCCUUUGGGGCCCCAGGAGAGCCCCCAGGCCCCGAUGUCUCCUGACCGCGGAGCCUACGCGCUGCCUUGUUUCCUCACCAGAAGCAAAG